rnacentral:misc_RNA from 1 species
GAUGAAGAACGUAGCGAAAUGCGAUAAGUAGUGUGAAUUGCAGAAUUCAGUGAAUCAUCGAAUCUUUGAACGCACAUUGCGCCCCUUGGUAUUCCAUGGGGCAUGCCUGUUCGAGCGUCAUUUGUACCUUCAAGCUUUGCUUGGUGUUGGGUGUUUGUCCUGAGGGACUCGCCUUAAAGUAAUUGGCAGCCAGUGUUUGGUUUUGAAGCGCAGCACAAGUCGCGAUUCAAAGCUAUACGCCCGCUUCCACAAGCCUUUUUCACUUUUGACCUCGGAUCAGGUAGGGAUACCCGCUGAACUUAAGCAUAUCAAUAAGCGGAGGA